CCUACGGGUGGCAGCAGUGGGGAAUAUUGCACAAUGGGGGAAACCCUGAUGCAGCGACGCCGCGUGAGUGAAGAAGUAUUUAGGGAUGUAAAGCUCUAUCAGCAGGGAAGAAAAUGACGGUACGUGAGUAAGAAGCCCCGGCUAACUACGUGCCAGCAGCCGUGGUACUACGUAGGGGGCAAGCGUUAUCCGGAUUUACUGGGUGUAAAGGGAGCGUAGACGGCAGAACAAGUCUGGAGUGAAAUGUCGGGGCUUAACCCCGGAACUGCCUUGGAAACUGGGCAGCUUGAGUGCAGGAGAGGUAAGUGGAAUUCCUGGUGUAGCGGUGAAAUGCGUAGAUAUUAGGAAGAACACCAGUGGCGAAGGCGGCUUACUGGACUGUAACUGACGUUGAGGCUCGAAAGCGUGGGGAGCAAACAGGAUUAGAUACCCCUGUAGUC
rnacentral:rRNA from 1 species